UAAAGUUUCAACGGUGGAUGUCUUGGAUCCCAUAUCGAUGAAGAACGCAGCAAAGUGCGAUAAUUAUCGGCGAUUUGCAAACUGUGAGUCAUCAGAUGUCGAACGCAAUU
rnacentral:rRNA from 1 species